AACGCACGAGACCUGCGGACCUGCGGAGGGAUCAUUACCGAGUUUUCACUCACAACCCAUUGCGAACCUACCACUGUUGCUUCGGCGGAGGCACCAGGUCGGGCCCCUCCCCCAGGGAGGGCGUCCCCCCCGGAGCCAUGCCGCCGCCGGAGGCCCAAAGACGCAGUUUCUUACCGAGUCUCUCUCUGAGAUGGCCCUCGUCGGCCUGAAAAACAAAAAAUGAAUCAAAACUUUUAACAA
rnacentral:misc_RNA from 1 species